AUAUCUACAUAGAGGAGGGGAGGGGGGUUAAGGAUGUUCUAUCUACAUACAGUAGGGGCAUAAGGAUGUUCUAUCUACAUACAGUAGGGGCAUAAGGAUGUUCUAUCUACAUAGAGGAGGGGCAUAAGGAUGUUCUAUCUACAUAGAGGAGGGGAGGGGCAUAAGGAUGUUCUAUCUACAUAGAGGGGAGGGGGAUAAGGAUGUUCUAUCUACAUAGAGGGGAGGGGGAUAAGGAUGUUCUAUCUACAUAGAGGGGAGGGGGAUAAGGAUGUUCUAUCUACAUAGUGGGGAGGGGGAUAUGGAUGUUCUAUCUACAUAGAGGAGGGGAGGGGCAUAAGGAUGUUCUAUCUACAUAGAGGAGGGGAGGGGCAUAAGGAUGUUCUAUCUACAUAGAGGGGAGGGUGAUUAAUUAUGUAAUAUCUACAUAGAGGGGAGGGGGAUUAAUGAUGUAAUAUCUACAUAGAGGGGAGGAGGAUAAUGAUGUAAUAUCUACAUAGGGGGGAGGGGGGAUAGUGUUGUAAUAUCUACAUAGAGGGGGGGGCAUAAGGAUGUUCUAUCUACAUAGAGGGAGGGGGAUAAGGAUGUUCUAUCUACAUAGAGGAGGGGAAGGGGAUAAUUAUGUAAUAUCUACAUAGAACAUCCGUAUCCCCCUCGCCUCUAUCUACAUGGAGGAGGGGAGGGGUGAUAAGAACGUUUUAUCUACAUGGGGGAGGGGCAUAUGGAUGUUCUAUCUACAUAGUGGAGGGGAGAUAAGGAUGUUCUAUCUACAUAUAGGAGUUGAUAAGGAUGUUCUAUCUACAUGGGGGAGGGGAAUAAGGAUGUUCUAUCUACAUAGUGGAGGGGAGAUAAGGAUGUUCUAUCUACAUGGAGGAGGGGAGGGGGGAUAAGGAUGUUAUAUCUACAUAGAGGAGGGGGGAUAAGGAUGUUCUGUCUACAUGGGGAAGGGGAUAAUGAUGUUCUGUCUACAUGGGGAAGGGGAUAAGAAUGUUCUAUCUACAUGGAGGAGAGGAGGGGA
rnacentral:lncRNA from 1 species